UACGUAGGGGGCUAGCGUUGUCCGGAAUCAUUGGGCGUAAAGCGCGUGUAGGCGGUUCGGUAAGUCCGCUGUGAAAGUCGGGGGCUCAACCCUCGGAAGCCGGUGGAUACUGUCGAGCUAGAGUACGGAAGAGGCGAGUGGAAUUCCUGGUGUAGCGGUGAAAUGCGCAGAUAUUGGGAAGAACACCAGUGGCGAAGGCGGUUCUCUGGGACGGUACUGACGCUGAGACGCGAAAGCGUGGGGAGCGAACAGG
rnacentral:rRNA from 1 species